CCGUGAACCUUUACUAUAGCUUGACACUGAACAUUGAGCCUUGAUGUGUAGGAUAGGUGGGAGGCUUUGAAGUGUGGACGCCAGUCUGCAUGGAGCCGACCUUGAAAUACCACCCUUUAAUGUUUGAUGUUCUAACGUUGGCCCGUUAUCCGGGUUGCGGACAGUGUCUGGUGGGUAGUUUGACUGGGGCGGUCUCCUCCUAAAGAGUAACGGAGGAGCACGAAGGUUGGCUAAUCCUGGUCGGACAUCAGGAGGUUAGUGCAAUGGCAUAAGCCAGCUUGACUGCGAGCGUGACGGCGCGAGCAGGUGCGAAAGCAGGUCAUAGUGAUCCGGUGGUUCUGAAUGGAAGGGCCAUCGCUCAACGGAUAAAAGGUACUCCGGGGAUAACAGGCUGAUACCGCCCAAGAGUUCAUAUCGACGGCGGUGUUUGGCACCUCGAUGUCGGCUCAUCACAUCCUGGGGCUGAAGUAGGUCCCAAGGGUAUGGCUGUUCGCCAUUUAAAGUGGUACGCGAGCUGGGUUUAGAACGUCGUGAGACAGUUCGGUCCCUAUCUGCCGUGGGCGCUGGAGAACUGAGGGGGGCUGCUCCUAGUACGAGAGGACCGGAGUGGACGCAUCACUGGUGUUCGGGUUGUCAUGCCAAUGGCACUGCCCGGUAGCUAAAUGCGGAAGAGAUAAGUGCUGAAAGCAUCUAAGCACGAAACUUGCCCCGAGAUGAGUUCUCCCUGACUCCUUGAGAGUCCUGAAGGAACGUUGAAGACGACGACGUUGAUAGGCCGGGUGUGUAAGCGCAGCGAUGCGUUGAGCUAACCGGUACUAAUGAACCGUGAGGCUUAACCUUACAACGCCGAAG
rnacentral:rRNA from 1 species